AUCACAAGGGAAUCCAAUGCCAGGGGGCCAGGGGAUGUUUUGCAAUGUGGGCAACUGAACCUGAGAUGUGACAAGACCAGUGAUUUGGCGACCUGCCCAGGCAGGCCCAGCCCCCAGGGUAUUGAGAUGACACAUUCUAAACUCAGGUGACCCGGGCCUUGGGAGUGCACUAGCAACUGGCUGUCAGUCACGGGGCUCUUCAGAUAUUUGUCACGUGAAUGAGCCAGACAGUAAGUGGAGAUGCCCUUCCUAGUCACCUACUGCCGGCGUUCACGCUGUGAACCAGCGAACUAGGCCACCGGCCUGACCCAGUUUUCCCUGUGGCCUGCCAAGCCAAGGAGAAGCAGACGCGGCCGGCGCAGGCGUCCAGGGUGACUCGGAGGCGUGGCUCUGCAGUCGCGGCUCUGCAGUCGCCUUGGAGCGGCUGCCCUUCCGACCCCGCCUGGGCUAUGACUCAUCUUCGGUGGAGGAGAAAGGGGCCUUUGUGAGCGCCCAGCUCCGGCGUCUCCUGGACAGCACCGCCCUCCGGUGGCCGCGAGUCAGGAGGGCUGGGGAAGCCGCCCGAGAGGCAGCGCCCGAGCUCCCCACGAGCUGCUGUGCCAUUGGAAGCGCCAGCGCCCUCCCCUCGGAGUCCAGCCAAGUCGGGGGGAAGACUGGGAGAGAAAUCGUCACCCCCUAGAGGGCAAGUGGGCUCAGCCCUAGGAAAUGCUUGUUUCUCCAGCCCCUCCCAGACGCCCCGGGGAAACGGCAUCCCAGAGCUCCGCUCCCUGGAGGCCCCUCCAGAGAGGGACCCGGGGCCCCGCCCCGCAGCUGGAGAAGGGGUGAAUGCCUUUCCUACCUAACGCCUGGUCCGCGGCCCUGCUUGUUGCGUCUCCAAGACCACGUGUCUGCUGCAUUUUAAAAAUAGUUGUGAACAUCUGACUUUCUCCUUUUGCUGGAGUGCAGUGGCACAAUCUCUGCUCACUGCAACCUCGGCUUCUCAGGUUCAAGCGAGUCUCCUGGCUCAGCCUUCCCAGUAGCUGGGAUUACAGGCGCGUGCCACCAUGCCCGGGUGGCAAAAGAGAAGAUGGAAGCCAUCUACUCCAGGCCCUUGAGGAAGCUGAGCGGCUCCCUGAGUAGGGUUGAGGUGGAUCCAGAAGGCAACAUCCUCUGGAAGGAAGGAGAGUCAGGAUGGUGGGGGCCUCACUAUGGUUUUGAUUUGCGUUUCCCUAAAGAUUAGUGAUGUUGAACAUCUUCCCAAGUGCUUAUUGGCCGCUUGUUUAUUUUCUUUGGAGAAAUGCCUAUUCAAGUCCUUUGCCCAUUUUUGAAUCAGGAUUGAUUUUCUAUGGUCUAGCUGUAGUUCUUUAUACACUGUGGAUAUUGAUUCCUUAUCAGAGCUAUGAUUUGAAAAUAUUUUCUCCCAUUCUAUAGGUUGCUUUUUUCACUCUGUUGAUUAUACUCUUUGACACACCCAUGGAGAAGAUUUUAAAGGGCAGGUAGAAGUCAGACAGUUUGAGCAGCAGCGUAGUGAAGAGAAGGCCUUUCAAUCGAAGGAAAUAGUCUGUGCAAACACACAGAGGAGAGAACCGCAACAUGCAGGUAGUUGGGUCUUGCUAGUACACUGGUGAGGGGUAGGAGGUGGGGACAGGUGAGACUGGAGGAACCACAUGACAGAGGACGGUUCUAGGUCCGCCAAGUAGCAGGACUUCGUUCUAAGGUGGCACUACUCAAAAGAGUGGUCUGAGGACCCUGGCCCAGCACCCCCUACUAGGAGUUUGUUAAAAAUGCAAAUUCCGGCUGGGAUCCUGGCUGAUGCCUGUAAUCCCAGCACGUUGCCGAGCUGAGGCGGGAGGAUUGCUUGAGUCUAGGAGUUUGAGACCAGCCUGGGCAACACAGUGAGACCCCAUCUCAAUAAAAAAGGAUAAUUUAAAAAAUGCAAA